rnacentral:misc_RNA from 1 species
GAUGAAGAACGUAGUGAAAUGCGAUAAGUAAUGCGAAUUGCAGAAUUCCGUGAGUCAUCGAAUCUUUGAACGCACAUUGCGCCCCCUGGUAUUCCGGGGGGCAUGCCUGUCCGAGCGUCAUUGCUGCCCUCAAGCACGGCUUGUGUGUUGGGCCCCGUCCUCCGAUCCCGGGGGACGGGCCCGAAAGGCAGCGGCGGCACCGCGUCCGGUCCUCGAGCGUAUGGGGCUUUGUCACCCGCUCUGUAGGCCCGGCCGGCGCUUGCCGAUCAACCCAAAUUUUUAUCCAGGUUGACCUCGGAUCAGGUAGGGAUACCCGCUGAACUUAAGCAUAUCAAUAAGCGGAGGA